UACGUAGGGUGCGAGCGUUAAUCGGAAUUAUUGGGCGUAAAGAGCUCGUAGGCGGUUUGUCGCGUCUGCUGUGAAAACCCGAGGCUCAACCUCGGGCCUGCAGUGGGUACGGGCAGACUAGAGUGCGGUAGGGGAGAUUGGAAUUCCUGGUGUAGCGGUGGAAUGCGCAGAUAUCAGGAGGAACACCAAUGGCGAAGGCAGAUCUCUGGGCCGUAACUGACGCUGAGGAGCGAAAGCAUGGGGAGCAAACAGG
rnacentral:rRNA from 1 species